CUACACCUGAAACAAGCAAGAUUACCCGCUGAACUUAAGCAUAUCAGUAAGCGGAGGAAAAGAAACUAACUAGGAUAGCCCCAGUAAUGGCGAAUGAACAGGCUAAAGCUCAAAGUGAAAAUUUGAAGUGGUCAACACAACAGAAUUGUAAUCUAAAGGGUCAACCUGAAACUAAGCUCCUCUCAUAAGUUCCUUGGAACAGGACGUCAAAGAGGGUGACAACCCCGUAGUCGGAGAGGAAGGCUGGUGUAAGGGAGAUUUCAAAGAGUCGGGUUGUUUGGGAUUGCAGCCCUAAGUGGGAGAUAAACUUCUUCUAAAGCUAAAUAUACACGGGAGACCGAUAGCGAACAAGUACUGCGAAGGAAAGAUGAAAAGAACUUUGAAAAGAGGGCUAAAAGACUUGAAACCGUUGAGAAGGAAGCUGUAGAAGAGCAAUAAACUGGACGGCGCAUAAGGGGGAAGUACUAAUCACUGCAGAGUCGAUACGUAAAAGGUCGAUGAGUAAGGAAAUGGUACAGAACUUGCUACGCCGGUCAGAAGACAAAAUGGGUUCAGAUUGAAGGAGUCACCUGAGAUUGGGCAGCAAUGCAGAUCAAAAGGAAAACUUCAAACUGGACUGAGGGGCCUAAGGGCGAUUUUGUCAAAAUGGCUUCUACUGACCCGUCUUGAAACACGGACCAAGGAGUCUAUCAAUUAAGCGAGUGAUAGGGUGGAAAAACCCGUCCGCGAAACGAAAGUGAGUACAAGGUGCCAAGCCGCAAGGUAGCAGCAUCACCCGACCUUGAGUCUCCGACGAAGGGUUCGAGGAAGAGCUUAAUUGUUAGGACCCGAAAGAUGGUGAACUACGCUUGAAUAGGGUGAAGCCAGGGGAAACUCUGGUGGAAGCUCGUAGCGAUACUGACGUGCAAAUCGUUCGUCAAAUUUGAGUGUAGGGGCGAAAGACUAAUCGAACCAUCUAGUAGCUGGUUCCCUCCGAAGUUUCUCUCAGGAUAGCAAGAGCAAGUACGCAGUUUUAUUAGGUAAAGCGAAUGAUUAGAGGACUCGGGGUUCCAAGAAUCUCGACCUAUUCUCAAACUUUAAAUUGGUAAGAGCCGCGGAGUUUACUUAAAUGAACUCUCGGGAAGAAUGCAGUGCUCUUAGUGGGCCAUUUUUGGUAAGCAGAACUGGCGAUGAGGGAUGAACCUAACGUUGAGAUAAGGCGCCCAAAUGCACGCUCAUCAGAUACCACAAAAGGUGUUGGUUCAUAUGGACAGCAGGACGGUGGCUAUGGAAGUUAGAAUCCGCUAAGGAGUGUGUAACAACUCACCUGCCGAAUGAACUAGCCCUGAAAAUGGAUGGCGCUGAAGCGUGUUGCCGAUACUCAACCAUCAGAGCAAAUGCGAGGCUUUGAUGAGUAGGAGGGCGUGAUCGUUGCCUAGAAGUAUUGGGCGUGAGCCUAUAUGGAGCAGCGAUUAGUGCAGAUCUUGGUGGUAGUAGCAAAUAUUCAAAUGAGAACUUUGAAGACCGAAGUGGAGAAGGGUUCCAUGAGAACAGCAAUUGUUCAUGGGUUACUCGAUCCUAAGACAUAGGUUAACUCCUUGCAAUACAAGAAGACAUUCGUUUUCGUUGUCAAAAGGGAAUGAGGUUAAUAUUCCUCAAGCUGGACGUGGUAUAGAGCGGUAACGCAAAGAAACCCGGAGACGUCAGCAGGUGUCACUGGAAGAGUUAUCUUUUCUUUUUAACAUACUAUGGCCAUGAAAUUGGAUUAUCCAGAGAUAUCGGCUGUAUGUAUGGCAGAGCAGCUCACCCUAAGAGCUGUCAGUUGCGCACCUGAUGACCCUUGAAAAUCUGGGGGAGACAUAAUUUCACGCCAGUUCGUACCCAUAACCGCAUCAGGUCUCCAAGGUUAGCAGCCUCUGGUCCAUAGAACAAUGUAGAUAAGGGAAGUCGGCAAAUUGGAUCCGUAACUUCGGGAUAAGGAUUGGCUCUGAGGAUCGGGUAUAAAGGCUUUGUAAUGAUAUCCAAGCUUGUUUGUUAGUGUGGCAACAUGCUGAUAGACUUGCGAACGAUGAAUUUGCAAGGUAGGUUUCGGCCGUCUUUAUACAAUUAACGAUCAACUCAGAACUGAAGCGGACAAAGGUAAUCCGACUGUUUAAUAAAAACAAAGCAUUGUGACGGCCUCAACAGGUGAUGACACAAUGUGAUUUCUGCCCAGUGCUCUGAAUGUCAAAGUGACGCAAUUCAACCAAGCGCGGGUAAACGGCGGGAGUAACUAUGACUCUCU
rnacentral:rRNA from 1 species